rnacentral:lncRNA from 1 species
UUUUCUUGCUUACCAGAGUGAGAUAGACAAGAGGGAUGCAGAAAUGGUACCACAAAGACAAAUGCUUCUAGAAGCCAAACAGAACAGGGGCAAGGAAGAGGAAUUCAGACUCUUUUGGGGGGUCUUCUUGCUUCACUACAUACAAAUCACCAAUUGCUGGAACUUCAUGGAGAAUUAGAAAGGUUUCUUCAUCCCAGUCAAUUCUGUGU